GGGCGAGUAGCUCAAUCGGCCAGAGCAUCCGCCUUACACGCGGAAGGUUCCCGGUUCGACCCCGGGCUCGCCCA
rnacentral:tRNA from 1 species